CCGGACCUGGAGCCACUGCAGUGUUACAGCAAAUUUUGCACCUGGGGAAGAAAAUGGGGCUCUGGCAGCCAGUUGCUUCUGCCAGAAAGGCUUCUGCUGGAGGAGAACCCACAUGGUGAAGUUGGAGAUCACAGCUGAGCAGGGUACAGGGGACUCCAUCACCAACACAAAACACUAGAAAAAUCCCACUUGGGAAGGCAGACUGAACUACCUCCUGCUUCUCACCACCUGCGUUAUUUUGGCCAACUGGAAAGAGAUCAGAUGUUGGCCUUAGCAAAAGGCCUCCGGUCGCACAAAAUCUCCAAGGAGCCGGUGGCCACCGCGCAGACGUCGCCCCGAUCCCUGGCAUGUGUGCAGGCUUCACUUGGGAGGGCCAGACGUGACGAAAGUAUCUGAUCCCUCAGAACUAUUUGCAGUGGGGAUGUGGUGAGCAAACGGCGAUGGCAGGGCCGUCUCCCCCCACGCGGGUUCCCUGAGAGCAGCGCUCCCCACGCGCACCCUCGGGGUACGGGGAGCAGCCCCAGUCCCCGUGCGGGCUGGGGAAUGGCACGUGGGGGGCACGUGGGCUUGGAAUGAAGCCCGCAUCUGUCAUCUUCAGAGUGCAUG